GACGAGGUGUCUGAGUGGUUAAGGCGAUGGACUGCUAAUCCAUUGGGCUCUGCCCGCGUGGGUUUGAAUCCCAUCCUUGUCG
rnacentral:tRNA from 1 species